UGUUGAAUGAAGAUGAACGAGGACAAACAUUUGACAGAAGAACUAAAUGUUUGUCUGUACUUCUGAACGAAGGCAGAGACUUCCGGUCUCGCGGGCCCCGCUCUCACUGCUGAUGUGCUCGCGGACUUUAUGCUAACGCGUUAGCAUUUAAGCUAGCGCACUUUCUCCGGAGUUUAUUGACAAACGGAUGGAUUAUUUAAUCCCGAACGAGAGUGACAGGACAUGGGAAUAACUGGACACGCUGAGGUGAAGAGAAACACCCGUUGUGAGAUGACGACAUGACGUCAGCGAUGAAAAAGAAAAGAAGAAGAAAGCACGAACCUCUUAUUCACCUUCUAUCUUCUUAUGGGAUCAUCAGAAAUGAGGUUCUGCCUCAUAAGGACCAGGUUUUGGUCUCCAUGAGGACUACCAACCCGUUCUCAUCCCAAGGCGUCACCUGACAGACGUACACGGUAUCCCUCUGCUUCUGAAAGACUCCCAUGUAAACCCACUGGUGGAGGACUCAGACCAGACCUGGGCCAUCCCGGACCAGACCUGGGCCAUCCCGGACCAGACCUGGGCCAUCCCGGACCAGCCUGUGGAUGUGCUGUCCAGUUGUUGGUGAGUGUGGAAGGAUCAGUGUAAUCCUCGGGUCACAGGUGUCCACUUCUGGUCGACUGCAGUCACGGAAUAAUUGGUGAUGUUUGAGCGAGCGACGUGAUGACACAUCGACCCGCGUGAGCCGGGAGUAAAACAUCAUCGAUUUCAAGGUAAAUGCACAGUUUGACAGUUUAUGUCACAACCUGAUGGUACACAGCGUCGCAUUAUUGGGCGCAGUCAAUAAAUAUGGAAAUAUCUGAACUAAAUACUCCUGUGUCACUGUGGACCAAAAACACUGCUUUUCUCUAUGGACUUUGAUGCAGGAGAGUGAGCGGUUACCAAACUGUUGGGAAAAGUUAGAGCAGCAAACACAUUAUUCAGAUGUCAGAGACUUAAAAGUGGCAAAAACGUAUUCUUUUAAAAUGGAGCAAAUCUCCAUUUUGAGCUUUAUUUUUGGCUCCAGUGCAGUAAGUGCUGUCUGUGUGUGUGUCACCGUCAUAUAAAAGGUCAAUUACAGGCACGUGUGAUGAUAUACCAGGGUAUAGAAAAGUAAUAAAGAAUGGAUCAUGAAAACAAACACAAAAAAUAUUGCUUCUCAAGACACUUGCUUUUCUAGAGGGAAUAAAAGACGCUGCGACUUUGAACCGCAUUGAUUUUCCUAAAAGAAAUAUAUCUGUAUCUAUAUGUCGAGGGUGAGUGUUUGCUGUGAAGGAAUGAUGACGGUGAGGCGGCAGCAGCA